AUCCGCCUAACAAGUCCUAAACAGGACGAAAUGCGCGUCAUGGAU
rfam:Schistosoma rodhaini strain Burundi genome assembly, scaffold: SROB_scaffold0007952